rnacentral:tRNA from 2 species
UCGGGCGUGGCCGGGGAGCGGCGCGCCACUUCGGUGUGGUGGCGCAGCAGCGGGCGUUCGGGGCGACCCGGCAGGC